AGGAGAGCCGCCCCCCUCCGGAUCCUGAGCCCGUGGCCCUGUCAGGGCCCGAGUCAAAGUCCUGACUUGGGAGCAUUCGUCAGCUCAAGUGCUUUCCACGAAAGUUUCCAUUCCUCCUGCCAAAUUAGGAGGCAGGGAGGGAAUUCAGCUUUCCCAGCUCAGGGGCCAGGCAGGCUUCUUGGGGGCCAUGCAGAAGGCUCCUGGAGGGUGAGAGAGGAAGUGCAGUUGCCUGGUGAGGCCAGGUCUUUGAAGAGGCCAAGAGAUGGCGUUCCCAACAGAAGAACGGCCUGAAGUUGAAAGGCCCUGGGGGUGUUAAUGUCUCUGCUUUCUCCAGAAAGAUUUAGGACGUCAAGUCGUCUGAAAAGAUUUCCUUUUUGGAGAACAAGCCCCGCUCUUUGGGGUACCGGAGGGUCUCUAAGAAGCACUGCCUGUCCCAGUUUCUACAAAGUUGGGGCCGCCUCUCUGGGAUAGGCCAGUCCAGCUCUGAAAGCUGAGCCAAGGGGCUGUUUCUGGAAGUUGGAAGAAUCAUGGUGAAACGGCACAAGUAUGGGCUGUUCAACAAUUAACCAGGCAGCGUGGAGUAUCAUCACAGAGAAUCUACGAUGUGCUACUGUGUGCUCUCUGCUAGAAACUGAAGAGAUGGGAUCUUGCUAUGUUGCCCAGGCUGGUCUCGAACUCCUGGCCUCAAGCAAUCCACCCGCCUUGGCCUCCCAAACUGCUGGGAUUACAGGCAUGAGCCACCAUGCC
rnacentral:lncRNA from 1 species